AGAACACUGAAUAAGAAUGUGCAGGACUGCGAGAUUUUUGCCGCACUUACUACAAGUCGGAGGAUUCCCUCCAGUCAAGAGGUUCAAUGCUGUAUGGAUGAGGUCCUUAUCUGACGGUUGCGGCUACAUUGCUAACAAGGUUCAAGUUGUCCUGGAUUGUUAACAAAACGAAGAGAAAUGCAGUCCUGAAGACCAUCUAAAGCGAGCUGUUAAGAUAUUCUUGAAUUGUGCACACUGGAAUGCGACGGUACAGCAACUCCACAACUCCAGCGCAAACGGAGGAUGACUACUUCUUUGGGAACGUCUUUUUGAAUUAAUAGUGAUUUCUCGAUGCCACUUGAGGAUGAGGAGCUUUCUAGGUACCUUUUAACGUCGUGUAAUAUUGCGGUGAGUGAGCUCAAAGAAAAAUUUCCACAAGUUAACAAUAUCUUCCUGAAAUUAAGUACAGCUGUCCCAUCCAGUGCAUCUGUCAAGCCCUAUUCAGCAUGUGUGUGAACAUAUUUACUAAGAAACGAGGCAGGUUGUAAUUAAUUAGAAAGCAGGAUCGCCAACUGGGUGAGUUGAUAAGGUGUCAUAACGAAAAAGAAAGAGUGCAAGUGGAACAGAGGUUAGGUCAUGAAAAUGCAUACAGGAAUGUUUCUUCAUAACAAUUAAGUAGUCGUCAACAUAUCUAAAUAUUUGCAUUACAGGCAUGUCUACUAACUUAGCAGAAAUUACAUUGUGAACCGAGGAUUAAAAAAUGUCACAUAAAAUGGGGGCGAUGGCUGAUCCUAUACAGAUGCCAGUGCGUUGGAUGUAGAAUUGGCCAUCAUGCAUUUCAUCAUGCAUUUUCAUGACGCGGUCGAAGAAAUUUUGAACUUGCUCAUCAACUCAUCGGGAGGACUUAAGUUCACGUAUGAAUUGCCAAUUAACAACCGUAUUCAGUUUCUAGAUAUUAACCUCUGUUUUUCUUUGGACGAGCACGUAUUCUGGGGAUAUCAUCCCAGAUCUAAGAAAACCUUGUUGCAUUAUGACAGCGCACACUCUAAAUUGAUUAAGAGAGGCAUAGCAACAACGUGCAUUAAGGCAGCACUUAGUAAGUCAUGUGAGCAUGAGUGCGAUCAUAGUUUUUUAAAUCAGAUAUCGCGACUACAGAACGCAGGCUUUCCCAGUUCUGUGAUCACUUCAGUAUGCGAAGCCAUUUUGCAGAAAGAGAAAAGAAGUUCCGACGCUUCCCAAGAAGAAAACAAAGACAAAAGACAAGCGCACGUGGUGUCAUACCUACACAGGUUGUCUCACAAUCUGAAGAAAGUUUCCAAAAGACAUAAUAUUACUUUGGUUUUCAGUGCCCCGUGUAAGUUGUCCUCGAUAUGCAAUCGCAUGAACAAGCGCGAAAGGCACCUGUGCACCACUAAUCAUAAAACUCGUUUCACUGAGUGCAGGCGCAAUGUCAUCUAUCAAAUACCGCUCAGCUGUGGGAAAUCUUAUAUAGGUCAAACGGGACAGUGCUUCGAUGAAAGAGCUCGUCAGCACAGCACUAACCUAAAGAAUGGCUAUGGGAGUCAUUUAGUUGGACACUGUAACAAGUGUCAAUGCACCCCCAUAUUUGAAAAGACAAAAUUCAUAGGGAAAGGAAAGAGUAAGAAGGAAAGGGAAAUAGUAGAGGCCUUUCAUAUGAGAAAGGAAGGCGAUAAAUGUGUAAGCACUCCCUCUCUUGCCUUGUCGGGAAAAUAAAUCACAUUUUUGGAAGAAAGAUUAAAAUGUUGAUUUGCAGA